rnacentral:rRNA from 1 species
CGAACCUGCCUCUUAGCGGGGGAUAACUAUUGGAAACGAUAGCUAAUACCGCAUAAAAGUCGACAUUGCAUGAUGUUGACUUGAAAGGUGCAAAUGCAUCACUAAGAGAUGGACCUGCGUUGUAUUAGCUAGUUGGUGAGGUAACGGCUCACCAAGGCGACGAUACAUAGCCGACCUGAGAGGGUGAUCGGCCACACUGGGACUGAGACACGGCCCAG